UUUUUGCAAAACAAGUUGACCAAAAAAGAAAAGGAAAAAAGCAGUGCUAGCCGUUUUCGGAACCAAUAAAAUGUUGCAUUUCAUCUCUCUAGAGAUGUUUGAGACUACGCUACUCUAUUUGAAAUGCAUAAGAAAACGAAAAAGAGAGCAAAAUGAUCGGACGUUGCAAACAGAGAGAAGAGCUUCGCCAUGGAAGAAGCCUAUAUUCACAACUG
ensembl:ncRNA C34B4.12 ncRNA